AAGACUAUACUUUCAGGGAUCAUUUCUAUAGUAUGUGACUAGAGAAGUUUCUCUGAGCACCCGAAGCCACGAGGAGGAGCCAGAGCAUCCUCUCCUGAGCAUGAAGCCGGCUAUAGGUAUCGCUUCUGCGACUGCCUCUUGCCAUUGAUGAUCGUUCUUCCCUUCCUUUGGAAGGGGUAGAGGGAGAGAAUGCAGUCUGAAUGGU